CGGCAAGCUGAGGGCGUAAGGUGAACGAGAACUAGAAGGCGAGCAAGAAGGCGAGGAGACGAGCUGAGGCCGGCGAGAGGAGGGGGAGCUGAGGCGAGGCAGUGAGCCGCGAGGCAUCAGGGGAGGUGAUCGAGAUACAGAGCCGAGAAGUGAGAACGCGAGAUGGAGAGGAGAGGACGCGAGAUAGAGAGAAGUAGAAAACUAGGU